rnacentral:rRNA from 1 species
ACCCGCUGAACUUAAGCAUAUCAAUAAGCGGAGGAAAAGAAACCAACAGGGAUUGCCCUAGUAACGGCGAGUGAAGCGGCAACAGCUCAAAUUUGAAAUCUGGCGUCUUUGGCGUCCGAGUUGUAAUUUGCAGAGGGCGCUUUGGCAUUGGCAGCGGUCCAAGUUCCCUGGAACAGGACGUCACAGAGGGUGAGAAUCCCGUACGUGGUCGCUAGCCUUUACCGUGUAAGGCCCCUUCGACGAGUCGAGUUGUUUGGGAAUGCAGCUCUAAAUGGGAGGUAAAUUUCUUCUAAAGCUAAAUACUGGCCAGAGACCGAUAGCGCACAAGUAGAGUGAUCGAAAGAUGAAAAGCACUUUGGAAAGAGAGUUAAAAAGCACGUGAAAUUGUUGAAAGGGAAGCGCUUGCAGCCAGACUUGCCUGUAGUUGCUCAUCCGGGUUUCUACCCGGUGCACUCUUCUAUAGGCAGGCCAGCAUCAGUUUGGGCGGUUGGAUAAAGGCCUCUGUCAUGUACCUCUCUUCGGGGAGAACUUAUAGGGGAGACGACAUGCAACCAGCCUGGACUGAGGUCCGCGCAUCUGCUAGGAUGCUGGCGUAAUGGCUGU